UACGGGGGAGCAAGCGUUGUUCGGAUUUACUGGGCGUAAAGGGCGCGUAGGCGGUCAGCACAAGUCAGUUGUGAAAUCUCCGGGCUUAACCCGGAAAGGUCAACUGAUACUGUGCGACUAGAGUGCGGAAGGGGCAACUGGAAUUCUCGGUGUAGCGGAUGAAAUGCGUAGAUAUCGAGAGGAACACCUGCGGCGAAGGCGGGUUGCUGGGCCGACACUGACGCUGAUGCGCGAAAGCCAGGGGAGGCGAACGGG
rnacentral:rRNA from 1 species